GUGGGCGGGGCGGGAGCGGCCGGGCCCCGGAACGGGAGAGCCCCGGGUUUGUUGUUGUUGCCCCACAGCGGCUCCUCCGGUCGCCCCUGCCCGCCGCUCCCGCCGCCGCCAUGUCCAGCCCUCAGGAGCCGCAGCAGCAGCACCACAACAACAACAACAACCCGCCGGCCGAGGCCACGCAGGGCGAGCCGGGGCUCAACAGUUCCUGGGUGGAGCUGCAGAUGAACGGGAACGGCAACAGCACCGACAACGGCAACGGCAAGAACGGGGGCCUGGAGCACGUCCCCUCCUCCUCCUCCAUCCACAACGGGGACAUGGAGAAGAUCCUCCUGGAUGCCCAGCACGAGUCAGGACAGAGCAGCUCAAGAGGUAGUUCCCACUGUGACAGCCCUUCACCUCAAGAUGAUGGACAGAUAACUUUUGAUGUGGAAAUGCACACAAGUAAAGACAGUAGUUCUCAGUCCGAAGAAGAAGCAGCAGAAGGAGAGAAAGAAUUGGAAGUUUUGAAGAAAAGUGCAGACUGGGUGUCAGACUGGUCAAGUAGGCCUGAAAACAUUCCUCCCAAGGAAUUCCACUUCAGACAUCCCAAACGUUCAGUGUCCCUAAGUAUGAGGAAAAGUGGAGCAAUGAAAAAAGGGGGCAUUUUCUCUGCAGAAUUCCUUAAGGUUUUCAUUCCAUCUCUGUUCAUAUCUCAUGUUUUGGCUCUGGGAUUAGGGAUCUACAUCGGGAAGCGCCUGACCACGCCCUCGGCCAGCACCUACUGAGCCCCCGCCCCUGAGGGUCCUUCUGUGUCCUGUCGUCUGACUCAGCCCAUCCUCAGCAUGUCCCUGCCUCGCCCUCCCCUCCCAGCCCAGGGCUCCCAGCCCAGGGCUCCGCCGGAAUUCCACCUUGCUGGCCUCUCUCCAGGGCUUUGGAGUUCCCCCCGCAGGAGGGAGUUCCUCCCACAGGAGUUCCUCCCACAGGAGAGUGAGUUCCUCCUUCAGGAGUUCCCCCCAUGGCUCUGUCGUCGCAAGGGCUUCUCUUCUCUCCACGCCAAAACCGCCACCAGCAAGUCCCCCCCGAUCCUUCCGUGCCCCCCGAGCUCUGGGCCUGCUGGAAGCGGCGCUGGGAAAGCCUCUGGAAGGAAGGGAGGGACUCAAGAGUCCUUCUGAGCUGCUCGUGGAAUCAACGAGGGAAUCACCGGCAAUAAAACCCCAGUUCCAAGCAGCUUUUUGGGGGAGAGUUUCCUUGGCCCCUCCUCUUGGCUUACGGGCACCAUUUGAUUUGCAGGAGGCCAAGACUGCAUCAAUUUUCCAGUAGGAUAAACUUAAAUCCAUCAGCAUAUUUUAAUAUUAGGUAAUUGUUGUAAUCUUGUCUUUUCUAUGAAGUCGGCUCCUUAUUCCUUGUAGGAAAAAAACCAACCUGUCUGAUACCUAGAAUAUAUUAGAAAAACAAAAAAAUGGCAUCGUUUGCAUGUAAAGAAGAGUUUUUUCUUUUCCUUUACCUUGUUUUCUUAAGGGGAAAUUUGAAAUGUGAAAAUUUUUCCUUUGAAAAGUAGUUUUAAAUUAAGGAAAAACCCCAACAGCUGUAGGUGUAGUUAAGCUCUUAAGUGUAAAAGGAAAUGACUCUGUUUGUUGUGGAACCAUUUACAACCGAGAUGAAACGGCAGUUUCAGCCAGCAAAUGUUUGAUUGCUCGUUAUUAAUUUCUCAUUAAGGGGGGGGGGACAAUCUUGCAGGUGCAUAAAAAAGGUUCAGAAGUCGUGGAAUGUCUUCUGCAGAUGAAUUUUUCCAUCCUCCUCUCUCUCAUUGUUUACUGUACAAUCUCCUUUUUGGGGAUACUCUUGGAAACCUGGAAGUCACUCGUGGUGUCUCCAUCUUAGACAGACUCUCACUGAUGUCGUUGAACUUUUAUCUUAGGGAACAUUAUUAAGCCUUGUCCUCCUUCAGUGACACUUCUUUUUCAAAAAUGUGAAGCUUUAGUACCAAAUUGUUACAAAGCAUUGGGACACUCGUGUCCUUAAAUAGAUUUUAUUGGAGUUCAGAACAUGUAGCAUGACUCUGAAGGAUAGAAUACUCUUUUUUUAUAUAUAUAUGAAUAUAUAAAAAAAAAAUAUGAUAUAGACUUUAAUACUAAGUAUUUAGGGAACCAAUGCUAAUUUUAAGACUAGCAAAAAUCUUAAUUAAAUAAAAAACUUUAGUUGGCUGACUUGCAGAAGAUAAAGAAAUCCAGUCAGCCAGUUUGGAGAGAACAGCUACCUAUAAUUGUUUUGCUUGCAUCAGACUUUAUAAUAAGUUGAUUAUUUGAUAGAGCAGUGAUUGCUUGAACCAGUUGAUGCAUAGAAGCUAAAGCCCAGCUGAGAUGUGGUUUAAAAAAACUUAGUUAGCUCCCAGGAAGUAAAAAAAGUGCAGUCUGACCCCACUGCUGAAGUGUAUUUAUUUGUAUUCUCUGUUUCUGAGCGCUGGCAGACAAUGCUUUCGGGGGGACAGGGCAGCCUAACAGCAAAUUCUCUGGAAUAAUCUGCUUUUUUUCCCCCUUUUAGUGGCACUUGAGUUGCCUCCAAGUGUGUGUUUGUUCCAGGCUGGAGUUGGGUUUCACCCAGAGGUGGGGGAGGGAAGGGGGAAGUGCUGGAGGGGGUUUCAGAGAGCACCAAUUUUAGGGCACUUCAUUUUCCAGCCCUAAAAACCAGGGCAGGGGAGAGAGAAAGGCUGAAACACUUCUCAGUUCUAACCCAGCACCUUGUUUUGUGUGGAAAUUGGAGUAGUGGAAAAAUAGAUUUUUACCAAGCAGGGAGUACUUUUUAAAGAGGAAAAAAAAAAACCCAACGAAUUCCCCAUUUCUGAAUUCCAAGGUAAUUAAUUCUUCAGGAUAUCUGCUAAAUAACAUUGCAAGCUUGUGGCUGGAGUAUCAACACCAGGUGUGAGAUUUGAAGUAAAAUGAAGUAAAAAUUGUGCAAAUUCGAGCUGAGGUCACUGUAACACUUGCUGGGACACAAUGCAGUAUUUAUUGAUACCCUACAUAAGCUCUACAACUUUUAGUUUUACAAUGAGCAGGAACAGAUUGUUGUACAAUUUGAAAAAGGGGUUUCAACUCUUGACAAGUUGGAAGUUUUGUUAAGAUAAACGUUGUUUAAAAAAAAAAGCUUUAUACCUGUUUACAGUUUUGGAAAAAAUAAAUAAAAAAGGAAAAAAACACAAAAAAAUAACCAACAACACAAAAAACCCACACACAAAGUAGGCUUCAUUUUUCUUACAUCCAGUGAAAAACUGGCCUCGACUAUUUGUAAAUAGGAUCAAGAAAAAAAAAAGGCAUAAAGUGGCACCUGAGAAGUGCAGCAGGCUGACCUUAACUGCAGCAAAAAAGCAUCUUUACUUACUGUUUUCAGAGGUGAAAAGCUGAAGAUUGUUGGCAAUUCAGCCUUUUUCUUUUUUUUUUUAAUUGACAUUGGUUGAGAUCUUGGAGUUAACUGAGCCAAAGUGAUUCUGCAUUCUUCACCCCUUAGUUAGCACUUUGUAACAUUACCUACAGUUUACAUGUAUAAGUUGUAGCUUAUAAAACAUUUUGUGCCAUUAAAGCUCUCACAAAA